AGUACUUAUCUCUUUUCAUAGUAGAUAGUUUCAAAUCUAAAUUAUUAAUAUCUACAACCUGACAUUGUGUAUGCGAGUCAUUUAAAAUAAUACAAUUAUUAUUUACAGCUGUAUACAUUAGGCUAUUCAGCUGAUACCUGGAAAUGUUUUCUUUAUUAUAUCUCUUUGGCAACAUUUGAAUGUAGGGAAAAGUAAACAAUAUGACUUUUGUAACAUUUUUUAUAUUAAAUAAUUUGUCCAAAUAUUCAGUCAUCUGUUUUUUGUUUAAUUUUCCUCUCCUCCCAACUAAAAGUAUUAAUGUAGUAUUCGGACAAUAUGUCAUAGUUAAAGCCCUUUUUAAAAUUUCAGUGUAAGAAGCUCCGGGCAUACAAAAAUUAGAAAAAGAUUGUCCAAUACACAUUCUAUUCAAAUAUACACCUAAAUCCUUACCUAACUCGUCACUGACUAAAGUAAUGUUUGUUGGGCAUUCCGUAUGUACCUUCUGACUGGAGCAUAUAUCUGCAAUAUUAUUUAAAACGGAAUGAUCAGCUUUAUCUGAGGAACCGUUGAUUCUCAAUAAAGAAUAAACCCGCUCCUCAUUGUAAUGAGUCACUUCGAGCAGAUCAUUCAUUGCUGAUAUAUGCCCCUGCAUUUCUUGCUGUGACAACUCAUAUUUCUUUUUCAAAUUGUCUAAAGAGUCUAGAAGUAUUGAAAUCUCUGCUUGUAGGUUGCAUACAUCGGCCUCAUAGCUACACUUAAUUUGCUCUAAGUCAAUUUUACAAUUUAGCAAAUUAUUAUUCAAAAUUUGGUUUUCUUUAACAACCUUUGAUAAAUUAUUUAAACAUUUUUUAUUUUUCAGUGACAGUUUACAAUAAUUCUUGAUGCACUUUCUGAUUCUAAUAUAUUUCUUUAAUUUUUUCCUACUAUUCAUUUCACACAGUGGCAAUGAAUCAUCACCGGUUAAAUCAACAGUAGAAAUGUCAAUGUUACAUGAUUUAGAGAUAGAAUGUGACUUACUUUUACUAUGGAUAAGUUCAUCAUACAAGAUUUGUGUUUGGGUGGCACUUUGAACAUGUAUUUGUUCUUUAAGUUUUAAAAUAUAGUCCUCAGCAUUAUUCAAUUUAAUUUUCAAGUUAGCCGAGUUCUUGAGAGUGUCUUCAUACUCCUCUCGGCAUUGAUCAAAACUGUCUACA